rnacentral:rRNA from 1 species
AUUGAACGCUGGCGGCAGGCCUAACACAUGCAAGUCGAACGAGUGGCGGACGGGUGAGUAAUGUCUGGGAAACUGCCUGAUGGAGGGGGAUAACUACUGGAAACGGUAGCUAAUACCGCAUACCAUCAGAUGUGCCCAGAUGGGAUUAGCUUGUUGGUGGGGUAACGGCUCACCAAGGCGACGAUCCCUAGCUGGUCUGAGAGGAUGACCAGCCACACUGGAACUGAGACACGGUCCAGACUCCUACGGGAGGCAGCAGUGGGGAAUAUUGCACAAUGGGCGCAAGCCUGAUGCAGCCAUGCCGCGUGUAUGAUGAAGGCCUUCGGGUUGUAAACUCCUUUCGCUAGGGAAGCGGUACCUGGAUAAGAAGCACCGGCUAACUACGUGCCAGCAGCCGCGGUAAUUC